rnacentral:rRNA from 1 species
GGCCUAACACAUGCAAGUCGAACGGUAACAGGAAGCAGCUUGCUGCUUUGCUGACGAGUGGCGGACGGGUGAGUAAUGUCUGGGAAACUGCCUGAUGGAGGGGGAUAACUACUGGAAACGGUAGCUAAUACCGCAUAACGUCGCAAGACCAAAGAGGGGGACCUUCGGGCCUCUUGCCAUCGGAUGUGCCCAGAUGGGAUUAGCUAGUAGGUGGGGUAACGGCUCACCUAGGCGACGAUCCCUAGCUGGUCUGAGAGGAUGACCCGCCCCCCUGGAACUGAGACACGGUCCAGACUCCUACGGGAGGCAGCAGUGGGGAAUAUUGCACAAUGGGCGCAAGCCUGAUGCAGCCAUGCCGCGUGUAUGAAGAAGGCCUUCGGGUUGUAAAGUACUUUCCGCGGGGAGGAAGGCGAUAAGGUUAAUAACCUUGUCGAUUGACGUUACCCGCAGAAGAAGCACCGGCUAACUCCGUGCCAGCAGCCGCGGUA